rnacentral:tRNA from 1 species
GGGGCUGUAGCUCAGUGGCAGAGUGCUUGCCUAGCAUGCAUGAGGCUCUGGGUUUGAUCCUCAGCACCA